rnacentral:rRNA from 1 species
CCUGACGCAGCAACGCCGCGUGAAGGAUGAAGGCUCUCGAAGUCGUAAACUUCUGUCUGGGGGAAAGAUGAUGACGGUACCCCCAAAGCAAGCCCCGGCUAAUUCCGUGCCAGCAGCCGCGGUAAUACGGAAGGGGCAAGCGUUGUUCGGAAUUAUUGGGGCGUAAAGGGCGUGUAGGCGGCUUCGCAGGUCGGUGGUGAAAGCAUACAGCUCAACUGUAUUGAGCCACGGAAACGGCGGAGCUUGAGGCUGGGAGGGGCUGGUGGAAUUCCCUGUGUAGCGGUGAAAUGCGUAGAGAUGGGGGAGAACACUCGUGGCGAAGGCGGCCAGCUGGACCAGUUCUGACGCUGAGACGCGAAAGCGUGGGGAGCAAACAGGAUUAGAUACCCUGGUAGUCCACGCCGUAAACGAUGGGCACUAGGUGUCGGCGGUUCAUAAUCCGUCGGUGCCGGCGCUAACGCAGUAAGUGCCCCGCCUGGGGAGUACGGUCGCAAGGCUG